rfam:Candidatus Rokubacteria bacterium RIFCSPLOWO2_12_FTLL_71_19 rifcsplowo2_12_scaffold_22763, whole genome shotgun sequence.
CCGUGCUAGACGGGGAGGUAGCGGUGCCCUGUAACCCGCAAUCCGCUACAGCGGGGUUGAAUUCCCUCUCGAGGACCGCUGGUGUCGAAUGAGACGUACGGGACGGCGUUGAGGGCUGGGCCCCACGCGACGGGACACGUCGAACCCCGCCAGGCCCGGAAGGGAGCAACGGUAAGGCGCUCCUCCCGUGUGCCGUGGGAGUACCUGGCCGGAGCAGGUCUCGUGCGGAGAUCGCGGUAUCAGCGGUUCGAUUGAGGGUGCACGG